UAUAAACGCUAGGGGCUCCACGUCGUGGGCUGAGAGGUACCCUUGGAACCUGAUCCGGGUCAUGCCGGCGUAGGGAAGCGCGACUGCAGCAUG
rnacentral:ncRNA from 2 species